UCCGGUUUGUCACCGGCAGUCUCAUUAGAGCGCCCAACUAAAUGUAGCAAUUAACGACAAGGGUUGCGCUCGUUGCGGGACUUAACCCAACAUCUCACGACACGAGCUGACGACAGCCAUGCAGCACCUGUGUUGCGGUUCCCUUUCGGGCACCGAGACAUCUCUGUCCCGUUCCGCACAUGUCAAGGGUAGGUAAGGUUUUUCGCGUUGCAUCGAAUUAAUCCACAUAAUCCACCGCUUGUGCGGGUCCCCGUCAAUUCCUUUGAGUUUUAGCCUUGCGGCCGUACUCCCCAGGCGGAGUGCUUAACGCGUUAGCUGCGGCGCCGCAGGGGUCAAUACCCGCGACACCUAGCACUCAUCGUUUACAGCGUGGACUAC
rnacentral:misc_RNA from 1 species